UUCAGAGUUUAUGCUUUUCUAAAGUGCUUUCACAUCCAUUACCUCCCUUACCACAGUAGCCCUUUUAAGGAUAGGUAACAUACACAGAGUAUUAGUGGAAAAUGUCAUUUAUUCAGAGAUCCCUUCUCUGACAAAACAACUGUUCAAAGAUGGACUUUUUAAAGGCCUUUGAGCUGCCAAAAGAGAUCACCAGAGUCUCUUGCUCAUAGGAGAGAUCCUCAAGAAUCUCUCUUUUCACCUCUUUACUAAAAUUUGCAUAUGUUUCUAGCAGGUUAUCUGGCUUUCAAGCCCAUUAAAAAAAAAAAAUGGCAGAGGAGACGGCUGCUUGAUAGAAGGCAGGUCUACCAAGAGCCACUGAAGGCCAGCUGAAAACCAGAUAGGAAGGUAGGGAGGAGGAGGAGAUCUACACCAGGCAUCGCAAAUCUGGGACGGCCUGGUUCCCAGAGGACACUGGUUGGCCCAGAAGGAUCUGUACCUACAAUAUGGCCCAUUGACAAAUUCUCAAAGAGAGAACCCAGAAUUUAUUUUUAAAAACCUAAGUAAAUCCAAAAUACUCCAGAAUAAAAGGCUAGAAAGAAUACAAUACACUCCCUUUAGGAUCUUCAUCCAGAUAGUUGGAAAAGUGGUAGGUUGCCCAUUUUUAACAGUAAAUAAAAUGAAAUUUGGCAAUUCAUAAAUUUAGAUUAUGUGAAAAAAAGUUUAGACAAAGUAUUUUUGUUACUUCAUUCUACAAAUGCAUUUUAAAGUAUUUUUAUAAUUUCUACAGUCCAAUAGCUUUCUCAUAAGUGUCAGCUUCCCUAAAUGAAGAUCUGUUUACUGGAAUAGCAUCUUGCCAGCUUAUGCAGGCUAAGUGUUUGAACAGUCCUGGUCAAGUAGCUGUGUUCUUGUGCUUUCAAGAGUUUCACUUUGAGUUUCCCCUGCACUGGGUACUAAGCACUAAGCUUUGUUUUUGAAGAGAGCAUUUGCAGGGGGAGUGGAAGGACCUCAUUUUGCCCCUGGAAAGAGAACGAACAUCUGCUAAGUGCUUUCUACCUGCUGGGCUUUUCAGGUCUCUAAUGACAUGUAACCUCAUCUCAUCUCUUGUUAGAGACCUUCUCUGGCAGGCCUCAGUUUCCCAGUGUCCUAGCAAACAGGAGUCCAAGUCUGGCACCUCCCUCCCUCCCCUCACCACCCUGACCACCUGGGUCCUCACCAUGCCUCCUAGGACCCUGGAGUGCUGGAGGGCAGGCAUUCUCAGGCCAUUUUAAGCAAUAACCAUUUCAGAAGAACCAGUUUAAGGAAUUUUGUAAGCAGGGAGGUAACCUGGAAUUGAUCUGUGAGUGGAAGAGUUGCUCAGGGCUGGAUUUCAAACAAGGACCUGGAAUUCUUUAGGUGAGAGACCAGGACUGCAGACUUCCCCCAGACAGAUGCUUGCCGAGGUGGCCCACAGUAGGGAUGAGGAGAGUACAGUGGCCAUCCGUGCUCUUUGGUCCCUCACGUCCACAGCCCUGCUGCUCCGGGGCAUGUGAGCAUGUACUAAAAUAAGCUACUAGAGCUGCUGCUGUAGAGUAACAACUGCCAGAUGCUUGGGGCCCCUUUCCCAUACCCAGUGGUCCUGGGAGGGGGGAGACAGGUGUUUACUUCCCUCCUUUAUAAACAGUGACACUGCCCGAGGCGGUACAAGUACAGUGUAUCCCCUUACCACAUCAGUCUCACUGCCUCCCAGUACUAGGUGUAAGGUGUCACCUGUAUGGACUUCUCCCCACCACCACCUCUCCCAUUAUGAAAGUAAUAUAUGUUCAUUAUGAAAAGUUUGGAAAAUGCAGAAAAUUAAAGUUAAUUCACCCAAAUCCCACCACCAAGAUAAUCACUGUUAAUGUUUUAGUGUAUUUCUGUCCUGUAUAUUUUCUAUGCAUAUAUAAUUUAUUUUAUUACAAGACUGGGAUCAUACUGUAUUUACAGAUUUGUAUCCUGCUUUCUUUAACAUAUUGUGAGCAUUUUCCCAUGUCAAUAAAUAUUCUUCAAA
rnacentral:lncRNA from 1 species